AGCGAACGCUGGCGGCAGGCUUAACACAUGCAAGUCGAGCGGGCAUCCUUGUGGUGUCAGCGGCAGACGGGUGAGUAACGCGUGGGAACGUGCCCUUCGGUUCGGAAUAACUCAGGGAAACUUGAGCUAAUACCGGAUACGUGCGAGAGCAGAAAGGUUUAUCUGCCGAAGGAUCGGCCCGCGUCUGAUUAGCUAGUUGGUGAGGUUAUGGCUCACCAAGGCGACGAUCAGUAGCUGGUCUGAGAGGAUGAUCAGCCACACUGGGACUGAGACACGGCCCAGACUCCUACGGGAGGCAGCAGUGGGGGAUAUUGGACAAUGGGGGCAACCCUGAUCCAGCCAUGCCGCGUGAGUGAUGACGGCGUUAGGGUUGUAAAGCUCUUUUCUUCGGGACGAUAAUGACGGUACCGGAGGAAUAAGCCCCGGCUAACUUCGUG
rnacentral:rRNA from 1 species